rnacentral:rRNA from 1 species
CAACAGUUAGAAAUGACUGCUAAUACCGCAUAUGCCUAAGUAUCACAUGAUACAAUAGGGAAAGGAGCAAUCCGCUGAUAGAUGGGCUUGCGUCUGAUUAGCUAGUUGGUGGGGUAAUGGCCUACCAAGGCAACGAUCAGUAGCCGGACUGAGAGGUUGAACGGCCACAUUGGGACUGAGAUACGGCCCAGACUCCUACGGGAGGCAGCAGUCGGGAAUAUUGCGCAAUGGAGGAAACUCUGACGCAGUGACGCCGCGUGCAGGAAGAAGGUUUUCGGAUUGUAAACUGCUUUAGACAGGGAAGAUAAUGACAGUACCUGUAGAAUAAGCUCCGGCUAACUACGUGCCAGCAGCCGCGGUAAUACGUAGGGAGCAAGCGUUAUCCGGAUUUAUUGGGUGUAAAGGGUGCGUAGACGGGAAUGCAAGUUAGUUGUGAAAUCCCUCGGCUUAACUGAGGAACUGCAACUAAAACUACAUUUCUUGAGUGCUGGAGAGGAAAGUGGAAUUCCUAGUGUAGCGGUGAAAUGCGUAGAUAUUAGGAGGAACACCAGUGGCGAAGGCGACUUUCUGGACAGUAACUGACGUUGAGGCACGAAAGUGUGGGGAGCAAACAGGAUUAGAUACCCUGGUAGU